rnacentral:tRNA from 1 species
CAGGAAAUAGUUUAUGAAAAAUAUUAAUUUUGGAGAUUAAAGAUGAGAAUUAUCUUUUUCCUGA